GCGGCUGAUGACUGAACACGUCGACUUGUUUAAAUGGCAAGGGGCCCAUGAGCGGUCCUGUAGUCAAAGCGCCCGCAUCCGAUGCGGGCGAGGUGCGCGGUCAGACCGCCUUGGGUAUUUCCAGGCCACGAAUCACCGCCGGCCGCGCCA
rnacentral:tRNA from 1 species